rnacentral:rRNA from 1 species
AGAGGUGGCAAGCGUUGUUCGGAAUUACUGGGCGUAAAGGGCGCGUAGGCGGCCAUCUAAGUCAGACGUGAAAUCCCCCGGCUUAACCUGGGAACUGCGUCUGAUACUGGACGGCUGGAGUUUGGGAGAGGGAUGUAGAAUUCCAGGUGUAGCGGUGAAAUGCGUAGAUAUCUGGAGGAAUACCGGUGGCGAAGGCGGCAUCCUGGACCAAUACUGACGCUGAGGCGCGAAAGCUAGGGGAGCAAACGGGAUUAGAUACCCCGGUAGUCCUAGCCCUAAACGAUGAAUACUUGGUGUGGCGGGUAUCGAUCCCUGCCGUGCCGAAGCUAACGCAUUAAGUAUUCCGCCUGGGGAGUACGGUCGCAAGGCUA